UUAGAGUUUGAUCAUGGCUCAGAACGAACGCUGGCGGCAGGCUUAAUAUAUGCAAGUCGAACGCGUGUAGCAAUACACGAGUGGCGCACGGGUGAGUAACGCGUGGAUAUCUGCCUUUUGGUUCGGAAUAACCCCGGGAAACUGGGGCUAAUACCGGAUGGUUCCUACGGGAUAAAGAUUUAUCGCCAAAAGAUGAGUCCGCGUCCGAUUAGCUUGUUGGCGGGGUAAUGAGCUACCAAGGCGACGAUCGGUAGCUGGUCUGAGAGGACGAUCAGCCACACUGGGACUGAGACACGAGCUAGACUCCUACGGGAGGCAGCAGUGGGGAAUAUUGGACAAUGGGGGCAACCCUGAUCCAGCCAUGCCGCGUGAGUGAUGAAGGCCUUCGGGUUGUAAAGCUCUUUUGGCGGGGACGAUGAUGACGGUACCCGCAGAAUAAGCCCCGGCUAACUUCGUGCCAGCAGCCGCGGUAAGACGAAGGGGGCUGGCGUUGUUCGGAAUUACUGGGCGUAAAGCGCGUGUAGGCGGUUGCCCAAGUCGGGUGUGAAAGCCUUGAGCUCAACUCAAGAAAUGCACUCGGUACUGGGUGACUAGAGGACCGGAGAGGAUAGUGGAAUUCCCAGUGUAGUGGUGAAAUACGUAGAGAUUGGGAAGAACACCAGUGGCGAAGGCGGCUAUCUGGACGGUUUCUGACGCUAAGACGCGAAAGCGUGGGGAGCAAACAGGAUUAGAUACCCUGGUAGUCCACGCCGUAAACGAUGGGUGCUAGACGUUGGCGAGCUUGCUCGUCAGUGUCGCAGCUUAC
rnacentral:rRNA from 1 species